AAAGAAAAGAGAUCUGUAUAUACUAAAAUUGCAGUGAUACAGAGAAGAUUAGUAUGGUCCCUGUGCAAGGAUGACAUGCAAAUUUGUGAAGUUUUCCAUAUUUUG
ensembl:snRNA U6 U6 spliceosomal RNA